rnacentral:rRNA from 2 species
GACGAAGGGGGCUAGCGUUGUUCGGAAUUACUGGGCGUAAAGCGAGUGUAGGCGGUUGCCCAAGUCAGGUGUGAAAGCCUUGAGCUCAACUCAAGAAAUGCACUUGGUACUGGGUGGCUAGAGGACCGGAGAGGAUAGUGGAAUUCCCAGUGUAGUGGUGAAAUACGUAGAGAUUGGGAAGAACACCAGUGGCGAAGGCGGCUAUCUGGACGGUUACUGACGCUAAGACUCGAAAGCGUGGGGAGCAAACAGG